AGGGACGCAUUAAUAGUGAGUCCAUGAAGACACAACACGCACACACAGCCUAUUUUACCAAAUAGGUUUUAUAGACAGAGAUUAUUUUUUUUUUUUAACGA